rnacentral:rRNA from 1 species
UCGAGCGGCGGACGGGUGAGUAACGCGUGAGAAUCUGCCCAUUUGUGGGGGAUAACCCGGGGAAACUCGGGCUAAUACCGCAUAAUCCCUACGGGGGAAAGCAGGGGACCUUCGGGCCUUGCGCUGAUGGAUGAGCUCGCGUCGGAUUAGCUUGUUGGUGAGGUAAAGGCUCACCAAGGCGACGAUCCGUAGCUGGUCUGAGAGGAUGAUCAGCCACACCGGGACUGAGACACGGCCCGGACUCCUACGGGAGGCAGCAGUGGGGAAUCUUGGACAAUGGGGGCAACCCUGAUCCAGCCAUGCCGCGUGUGUGAAGAAGGCCUUCGGGUUGUAAAGCACUUUCAGCAGGGAGGAAGGCUUACCCCUAAUAACGGUGAGUACUUGACGUUACCUGCAGAAGAAGCACCGGCUAAUUUCGUGCCAGCAGCCGCGGUAAUACGAAAGGUGCGAGCGUUAAUCGGAAUUACUGGGCGUAAAGCGCGCGUAGGCGGUUUGUUAAGUCAGAUGUGAAAGCCCCGGGCUCAACCUUGGAAUUGCAUCCGAUACUGGCACGCUAGAGUGCAGUAGAGGGAGGUGGAAUUUCCGGUGUAGCGGUGAAAUGCGUAGAGAUCGGAAGGAACACCAGUGGCGAAGGCGGCCUCCUGGACUGACACUGACGCUGAGGUGCGAAAGCGUGGGGAGCAAACAGGAUUAGAUACCC